rnacentral:rRNA from 1 species
GAUGAACGCUGGCGGCGUGCUUAACACAUGCAAGUCGAACGGACAGGCCAUGAUCUUGUUGCGUGCUCGUGUGGCGAACGGGUGAGUAAAACGCGAGUAACCUGCCCCUGACUUUGGGAUAUCUCUAGGAAACUGGGGCUAAUACAGCAUAGAAGAUACUGCUGCAUGGUGGGGGUUGGAAAGUUUCGGCGGUUGGGGCUUGUCUCGCGGCGUAUCCGCUUCUUGGUGGAGUAGUGGCUUACAAAGGCUUUGACGGAUAGCCGGCCUGAGAGGGUGACCGGCGACAAUGGUACUGAGAGACGGCCCAGAAGCCUACGGGAGGCAGCAGUGGGGAAUAUUGCAGAAUGGGCGGAAGUCUGAUACAGCAACGCCGCGAGCGGGAUGACGGCCUUCUGGGUAUAAACCGCUUUGUCCGGUAACGUAGCGGGAGUGACGGUAAUUAGUAAAGAAGCACCGGCUAACUACGUG